rnacentral:rRNA from 1 species
AACGGGGGGGUCGAGUGUUUAUUCGUCUUAACUGGGCGUAAGGGCAAGUAGACGGAUAUUUCCAGUUUUUAUGGUAAAUUCUCGUUUCAUAAACUUAAACCAUAAUAGGAAUAUCUUGAGUACGAUAGAGGAUAACAGUACUCUCAAUGGAGGGGUAAAAUUUCCUAAGAAUAUUGACGGGGACUCUCGGUGGCGAAGGCGGUAUCUGGUCGUUACUGACGUUGAG